CAGCCUCAGCAACUCAUUAACAAGAGCAAGACCCUGUCUCUAAAUACUAAAAAGGCUGGGGAUGUGGCUCAGUGACUAAGCUGUCUUGGGUUCAAUCCUCAGUAUAAGUAAAUAAAAUUAAAAGCACUAGGAAUGUAGAUAAGUGAUAAAAUGCCCCUGAGGCAGGGUAAGGGGUGAGCAGGAGGCAGGAAGGUAUAGCCAUGUAGCCACAGAAGAAGAAAGCCUGGAACCAGACAAAGUGGUGCACACCUGUAAUCCCAGCAACUCAGCAAGCUGACAGAGUGAUUCCAUGUUUGAUGCCAGCCUCAGUGGUUUUCGGCGGACACAACAUCUUUAUUUGUAUGUGGUGCUAAGGAUCGAACCCGGGCCGCACACAUGCCAGGUGAGCGCACUACCACUUGAGCCAAAUCCCCAGCCCGGUAUCUCUCUUUUUAAAAAUAGAUUUCAUUAGGUUCCUUCAUUCCUCUCCAACUACUGCCCUACUCUUGUUAUCUUUCCAGAGAGAGCACUGUCUAUAUAUAUGUGUGUGUGUGUGUGUGUGUGUGUAUAUAUAUAUAUAUAUAUGAUCUGUUUCUUCACUUAUCACUCCACAUAGUCCAACCUAGUUACUGCUCCUGUUAUAUGUCAUUCUGUUAAGGAAUUCCAUAUUCCUAAAUCCCACAGAUAUUUUCAAUCUUCAUCUUUUUGGCCCCUCAGCAACAUUUGACUAUUAUUCUCUCUUCCUUAAAAAUACGCUACUCUUGGAUUCUCUGACACCUUGUUUUUUUUCUUUUCUCUUCUCUCUGGCUGUUUUCCUUACCUCUGGAGGUUUAUCCUUGACCAUUAAAUUUAAGACUUCUUGGCUUAGUCACUGUCCCUCUCUUCUCAUUAAAUGUCCUCAUUCUAGAAGUCCCACCAAUGCCUGGUUUCAAUUACAGCAGGAAUAAAUUGGAAUCAUAAUCUUGUAUGUCCAGCCUAGGUUUUUCCUCUGGUUUCUUGCUCUAGGUAUCCAACUACCUAAUUCACACUCCACUUGGGAAUCACAAAGAAAAAACCAGAGUUAAAAGUCUAAACUUACUAAAUUCAUUAGCUUAUGAUCUGUAUCCCACAAACAUUACUUUUCCAGUUUCUCAUCAAAUGAUCCCACUAUCUCUGGCUAUGCAAACCAGAAACCAGAAAUCACUCUUGACAUUUUCCACAUCUAAUUUUUCAUCAAUUCUUGUCAAUUCUGCUUGCCAAGUAUAUCUUGAAUCCAACCACUUUUAAGCUCCAUCAGAAAAGCAGUUAGGAUUUUGCUUAUUACUAUAACUUCAUACUUAAUCUAAUAUUUGAUAUAUAGUUUGUGCUUACUAACUAUCAAAUAGUUAUAUUAAUAUAUCAAAUAUAUAAUAUACUGAACUAAUUAGAAAAGAAUUAUUUGAUUCAUAUUAUAUUUCUAAUGGCCUAUUACUUUGGACUAGAACUUAUACACAGUAUUCUUCUCUGCAGUGAAGCAGAGUACUCGUUUUUUUGAGAGAGAGAGAAGAGAAUUUUUUUUUAAUGUUUACUUUUUAGUUCUUGGUGGACACAACAUCCUUGUUUUGUAUGUUGUGCUGAGGAUCGAACCCGGGCCGCACGCAUGCCAGGCGAGCGCGCUACCGCUUGAGCCACAUCCCCAGCAGAGUACUUCUACAUGUCUCUUUUUAGAGAACUAAGAUGGCACAUACACUAAAGGAAUCCUUGUGGCCCACCAUGGAAACUGUUUCAUACUCAGGUGUGAGUCAAAGAUAUACUUAUCCAAAGUAAAUGAUAUGUACUUCUCCUGGUACAUAAUCCUAAAACAGCAGAAUCUUACCUUCUUUGUUCUUAUAAGUUUGUGGUCCCUGAAUUCAGUUAACUGGGCUCGGAGUGUCAAAUCACUAUUGACAAGGAAUGCUUCCCGACACUGCUGGUAAAAAUCUUGAAAAGAAAGUCCUAAAGAAAUCGAAAGGAGAUGUGAACAUAAGUCUGCAUUUAAGAUGUAACCCAUAAACAGAUACCCAUAUCAAAGAAUAGAUAACAAAAGCGUUGCCAACAUAUUAUGCCAAAGCCAUCAAUAAAGAUUGAUUUUUUUAAAAAAGAAAAAAAAAAAAAA